rnacentral:rRNA from 1 species
ACACGACCGGCGCACGGGUGAGUAACGCGUAUGCAACCUACCUAUAACUGGGGAAUAGCCCGGAGAAAUCCGGAUUAAUACCCCAUAAUGUUUCUGAGACGCAUGAUGAUUGAAUGAAAGCUCCGGCGGUUAGGGAUGGGCAUGCGUGGCAUUAGAUAGUUGGUGAGGUAACGGCUCACCAAGUCAGCGAUGCCUAGGGGGUCUGAGAGGAUGGUCCCCCACACUGGUACUGAGACACGGACCAGACUCCUACGGGAGGCAGCAGUGAGGAAUAUUGGGCAAUGGACGCAAGUCUGACCCAGCCAUGCCGCGUGCAGGAUGACGGCCCUAUGGGUUGUAAACUGCUUUUCUGAGAGAAGAAUCCCCCCGAAUUUUCGGGGGUUGCCGGUAUCUCAGGAGGAAGCAUCGGCUAACUCCGUGCCAGCAGCCGCGGUAAUACGGAGGAUGCAAGCGUUGUUCGGAAUCACUGGGCUUAAAGAGCGUGUAGGCGGGAUGUAAGGUGUCUUGUGAAAGCCCCCGGCUCAACCGGGGAAUAGCUUGGCAAACCGACAUUCUUGAGGCAGGUAGAGGCGACUGGAACCUUUGGUGGAGAGGUGAAAUUCGUAGAUAUCAAAGGGAACGCCGGUGGCGAAAGCGAGUCGCUGGGCCUGUCCUGACGCUGAGACGCGAAAGCGUAGGUAGCGAACGGGAUUAGAUACCCCGGUAGUCUACGCCGUAAACGAUGCGCACUAGGCACGAGGAGUUCUGACGCUGUUCGUGCCGUAGCAAAAGUGUUAAGUGCGCCGCCUGGGGAGUACGGCCGCAAGGCUAAAACUCAAAGGAAUUGACGGGGGCUCACACAAGCGGUGGAGCAUGUGGAUCAAUUCGAAGCAACGCGAAGAACCUUACCUGGGUUUGACAUGCUUGGAUGCUCUCUUGGAAACAGGAGUAAGCUGCCUUCGGGUGAAACUAGCACAGGUGCUGCAUGGCUGUCGUCAGCUCGUGCUGUGAAGUGUCGGGUUAAGUCCCUUAACGAGCGAAACCCUUGUCGCUAGUUGCCAGCGGGAAAGCCGGGGACUCUAGCGAGACCGCCGGCGUUAAGCCGGAGGAAGGUGGGGACGACGUCAAGUCAUCAUGGCCUUUAUGCCCAGGGUGUCACACGUGCUACAAUGGGGCGUACAGAGCGACGCGAGACCGCAAGGUGGAGCAAAUCGCACAAAACGUCCCUCAGUUCGGAUUGGGGUCUGCAAUUCGACCCCAUGAAGUCGGAAUCGCUAGUAAUCGCGUAUCAGCCACGACGCGGUGAAUAUGUUCCUGAGCCUUGUACACACCGCCCGUCAAGUCAUGGAAGCUGGGAGUACCCGAA